AACGAACGCUGGCGGCAGGCUUAACACAUGCAAGUCGAGCGCCCCGCAAGGGGAGCGGCAGACGGGUGAGUAACGCGUGGGAAUCUACCCAUCUCUACGGAAUAACGCAUGGGAACGUGUGCUAAUACCGUAUACGUCCUUCGGGAGAAAGAUUUAUUGGAGAUGGAUGAGCCCGCGUGGGAUUAGCUAGUUGGUGGGGUAAAGGCCUACCAAGGCGACGACCCAUAGCUGGUCUAAGAGGAUGAUCAGCGACACAGGGACUGAGACACGGCCCAGACUCCUACGGGAGGCAGCAGUGGGGAAUAUUGGACAAUGGGCGCAAGCCUGAUCCAGCCAUGCCGCGUGAGUGAUGAAGGCCCUAGGGUUGUAAAGAUCUUUCACCGGUGAAGAUAAUGACGGUAACCGGAGAAGAAGCCCCGGCUAACUUCGUGCCAGCCGCCGCAGUAACAC
rnacentral:rRNA from 1 species